rnacentral:rRNA from 1 species
CGUGAUUUGGGCUAUAUUACGGGGCGAAAAUUAUAUGUUCGGACAUUGUUUUCGAAUAUUUAGCAUGUAUCAAAGCUCUUACAAACAGAAAGGGUAUUCCUACAUAGAUGGUGGGACCCACGGCAAAUGGAUCAUAAAAUCUUCAAAAAAGAAUAGAUACGAUUGCAUUGCAUUUAGUAACAAAUGCGAUCAUACCAGCACUAAUGGACCGGAUCCCAUUUGAACGCCGCAGUUAAGCGUGCUUGGGCAAGAGUAGUACUAGGAUGGGUGACCUCCAGGAAAGUCCUCGUGUUGCAUCCCUCUUUUUUUCGGCUUUUCUCUUUUUCUUUUGUCAAAAAUGUAUGACUCUAGAACUUUUAGACCGUGAUGCCAAACACUUGGCAUGUGAUACCUUUUCGGAAAGCCUAAAGAGAGUUCUCUGAUGAAUGAGGAAGAAAGAUGGAAUUCUUCUAUUGUUUUUUUUUUCUACUCCAACUUUUGACCUUUACGUACUUUUUCGGGA